rnacentral:rRNA from 1 species
CGGACGGGUGAGUAACGCGUGAGAAUCUGGCUUCAGGUCUGGGACAACCACUGGAAACGGUGGCUAAUACCGGAUGUGCCGAGAGGUGAAAGGUUAACUGCCUGAAGAUGAGCUCGCGUCUGAUUAGCUAGUUGGUAGAGUAAGAGCCUACCAAGGCGACGAUCAGUAGCUGGUCUGAGAGGACGAUCAGCCACACUGGGACUGAGACACGGCCCAGACUCCUACGGGAGGCAGCAGUGGGGAAUUUUCCGCAAUGGGCGAAAGCCUGACGGAGCAAUACCGCGUGAGGGAGGAAGGCUCUUGGGUCGUAAACCUCUUUUCUCAGGGAAGAACAAAAUGACGGUACCUGAGGAAUAAGCAUCGGCUAACUCCGUGCCAGCAGCCGCGGUAAUACGGAGGAUGCAAGCGUUAUCCGGAAUGAUUGGGCGUAAAGCGUCCGCAGGUGGCUAUGUAAGUCUGCUGUUAAAGAGUCUAGCUCAACUAGAUAAGAGCAGUGGAAACUACAAGGCUAGAGUACGUUCGGGGCAGAGGGAAUUCCUGGUGUAGCGGUGAAAUGCGUAGAGAUCAGGAAGAACACCGGUGGCGAAGGCGCUCUGCUAGGCCGUAACUGACACUGAGGGACGAAAGCUAGGGGAGCGAAUGGGAUUAGAUACCCCAGUAGUC